GUGUAUAACUCUCUUCCAAAAUCUUUUUUUGAAGGCAUACCGAAAGUUAGCCAAAGAAUACCAUCCUGAUAAGAAUCCAAAUGCUGGAGAUAAAUUUAAAGAAAUAAGUUUUGCCUAUGAAGUAUUGUCAAAUCCAGAGAAGCGGGAGCUAUAUGACAGAUAUGGAGAACAAGGUCUACGGGAAGGCAGCGGCGGGGGUGGCGGCAUGGAUGAUAUUUUCUCACAUAUUUUUGGUGGAGGAUUGUUUGGCUUCAUGGGCAAUCAAAGUAGAAGUCGAAAUGGCAGAAGAAGAGGCGAGGACAUGAUGCAUCCGCUGAAAGUGUCUUUAGAAGACCUGUACAAUGGCAAGACCACCAAGCUGCAGCUCAGCAAGAAUGUGCUCUGUAGCGCGUGCAGUGGCCAAGGUGG
rnacentral:lncRNA from 1 species